AGAGUUUGAUCCUGGCUCAGAACGAACGCUGGCGGCGUGCUUAACACAUGCAAGUCGAACGAGAAACCUCGAGCUUGCUCGAGGGAGUAAAGUGGCGCACGGGUGAGUAACACGUGGGUAACCUACCCCCGAAUCUGGGAUAACCUCGCGAAAGCGUUGCUAAUACCGGAUAUUGUCCUAUUGGUUGUGACCUUUGGGAUGAAAGGCAACCUCUUCAUGAAAGUUGUCGUUCAGGGAUGGGCCCGCGUACCAUUAGCUUGUUGGUGAGGUAACGGCCCACCAAGGCUACGAUGGUUAGCUGGUCUGAGAGGAUGAUCAGCCACACUGGAACUGAAACACGGUCCAGACUCCUACGGGAGGCAGCAGUGAGGAAUUUUGCGCAAUGGGGGAAACCCUGACGCAGCAACGCCGCGUGAGUGAAGAAGGCUUUCGGGUCGUAAAGCUCUGUCAAGUGGGAAAAAAGUCUGAUGAUUAAUAGUUGUCAGAUCUGAUGGUACCACUGGAGGAAGCACCGGCUAACUCCGUGCCAGCAGCCGCGGUAAUACGGAGGGUGCAAGCGUUGUUCGGAAUUACUGGGCGUAAAGGGCGUGCAGGCGGGUUGGUAAGUCAGAUGUGAAAGCCCUGGGCUCAACCCAGGAAGUGCAUUUGAAACUGCCAUCCUAGAGUAU
rnacentral:rRNA from 1 species